UUAAAAAUCCCAUAACUCUGGAUAUUAAAUAGCAUAAAACUAAAUAAUCAAUAGAUUAAAAAGAAGCUCACAAAAUAUUGAACAGAAUAAACUGAAGGCAUUUAAUCCAAAAUAUAUGAACAUAGCUAAAGUAAUAGAGGGAAAUUUAUAAAUCUAAAUAAAUUUAUCACGAAUGAAUAAAGAUUGAAAACUAAAGAGCCAAAUGUUUAAUUCAAGAAGAAGAAGAAAAAUCAGAACACACUAAAGAUAUUAGAAAUAAGGAAAUAUUAAGGGCAGGAACCAAAGUAAAGAACAUGAAAAACAGUAAUACUGAAGUGGCGUCGUUUGGGGAAAUACCCAAGGUUCGUUGUCUUGCACUAAGGAAAUCGAAGAUGCGGACACACAAGGUGUGAGUUUAAAAGCAGAAGUUUAAUAGGUGAAAGAAAGGAGAGAGAGUUUCCUUUCGCAGAGGAAGGCCCGAGCGGGUUUCUGGGUUUAGGGUGAGAUGCGGUUGGUUUUACAGACGAACUUGAGGAGGCAGUGUCUGAUUUACAUAGGGCGUAGUGGAUUGGUUGGACCAGGUGGGUCAUUUACAUAGGCUGUGACGAGCUGGCCAAACCACCCUAACUUUUUAUUAUGCAAAUGGAGUCUUUACCUGGCCAGCGCCAUGUUAUCUGAACACGCGGAGACAAAGGGAAGAGGAAACCUCCAUGUUGAAUACACUUGGCUUCCAGCACCGUCUAGCCGAAGUUUAUUGUUAACAUGGCUCUUCCAUGAGAAAAGGGAGCCUGUUGGUAAGAUUACCUGAAAAGGACUGCUGUGUUGCAUCAUUGGAAGCACUUUUUGACUUUAUACAGGUAAUUCUUGGCUAAAAUAAAAUGAUAUUUAAAAAAAAAAAAGAAAAGUACAUAGUACACUUGCUGCUCUCCCCCGCUUAGCCCUAAUGCAGGCAUUCCUAAUCCGUAGCUCUGUGCCUUUCCUCUGACUCACGGCUUCACAACCCUUCUCAGUACCAUACCCCAGACAGGUACCACCAAUCAGAGUUGAUGUGAAACCUCUUUGCCGUUCCUGAUCUUAUCCAUUGGAUCUGCAAACGGGUUUCGAUUUUGCUUUUCUAGCUCUGAACUUUGUGCCUUUUCCAGAGUGAUUCUAGGGAUCAGCCUUCCAGCUUCAUACACAACAGCCUAAGGCAUCUACAGCUGCUAGACCAGUCUAUGCCUCAUUGUCAUGGAGCCUGCUUCGGCCACACGCAGUGCCUGCUCAACAGAGGCAGAGAUAUGCAUAGUUGUUGUGUGCAGGAGCUGAUUUAUUAAGAAGUCCAACUGGCCGGAGUCCCCAAGAGAAACUCUCUUUGGGAACAGUGGGUACUGUUGACUGCUCGGAUAUGUCAUUGUUUGGGAGGUCUUUAGUCUUUUCUGUCAGUCUGAACACCCUCAAGUGGGGAAGUGACCUCUGAUCAUUGGAUACUUUCCUAAGGGGAGUAGCAACAGUCUACAGGCAUUCCUCCUGUGGUUAUUCUGACAGUGGUAGACUUAAACCAGGUAGAGAGGUCUUGCAUUCUAUCUGGUGGAGUGUGUGACACAGAAACAGUUAUGGAAACAAAAGCUUUUACCCUACUUUCCCACCCAUCAGGAAGAGCACUGACUUUUUAAAAAUAUUUCCCCUUGCAAAUCCUCAGUCUCAGAAGCAGAGCAAUCAAUUAUGUUGUCAACACAAAUAGACCUCGUAAAAUUCAAAGUUAAAGUCACUUCUGACAGCUUCUUAGCCUGUAAAAUGAGGGGGUUAGAUCAGAUAAUCUCUAAAGGUCUUUCCAUCUUUCACAGCUUAUGACUUUAUGGCUUUGGUCAACAAUAUAAAACAAGGGCAAAAGGCAAAAGAAAAGAAAAGAAAAGGCCCUAAAACUUAGCACAGGCUCUGGAGAAUCUACAGGCAUUUCAAAAAGACAGUUAACUUGAAACGUAGGGAGCCCAAAUGAAUUCUGAAAUAGAGUAGAACAAUGAGAACGUGCUUGUAAAAUGUGUCACCAGCCACUGCCUUCCAACUGGCUGUGGGGCCUUUCCAGCACAGGCUGGUAUCUGCCUGAUAAGUAUCAUUCUUUGUUAAUGUAGCCAUGGUUUGUCAUGUUUGCCAAAGGCUGGAAGAAAAUUGAGCCAAGAGCUGGAAGCCAGAAGUUCCCCAUGCCUGCCCUACACAUCCAGGCUCUGAGUUUUUACUUUUUCUACUAUAUUGCGAUGCAAGUUAACUUUGCUUCUCUGUUCUCUGUCACUGAGAAAUACCACGUCUCCAUGGCAAUAGGAAUGCAUUUACCUUCACCAAACCUGCUCAAAUCCUUUCUGAAGAGGACGUAGCAGGAGUUGCCUUUCCGAUGGUGGAGGUUCAGAGUACAACCUGCAGCCACAGAGAAACGUUGCUUGUUCCUGAAAUGCAGACACACCUCCAAUCCAGAAGACAAGUCAUCUCGUGGAGGAAGUGGUAGCUGUAAAAAUUCAAAUGGAAAAGGCACAGGCAAGAAACAAAUUUUUUGAAAAGUUUGCCUUAAGUUUGGCACAGAAUUUGGGACCAUUGCUUUGGCAAUUAGUGACUCUCAGAGGGGAACAGAAGCCUCCGGGAUGGGUGAGGUGGCUCAUGGAAAACAAGUGUGUGCAGGGCGGAGAGGAGAGGACCAGGACAGAAGGCAAGGAGUUAGGGGCGGGGGGGGGGGGGGUGCUGUUCUGGGUCUGUUCCUAACAGGCAUGCUUUUUCCAGUCUUUUCAUGACCUCAUAAACCUUCACUUGGGCUGGUGGAGUGUUGCAUUUCUUCAUUUAGUCAUUGAAUCAUCCAUUCCUCACUUACUCACCUGCUCAUUCAUUCAGAAAGUCUUUAUUCCACACCUACCAUGUACCAAAUAUUGUAUUUGGCACCAGUUCACUCAGAUGAAUAGGGCAUGGGCCCUGCCCACCAGGGCUCAGAGCCUGGGUUGAAGAGGUGGGUGACUAAACAGGCAAAUGCAAUUCAAUAUAGUACGUGCCUCUUUGGAGUAAGCAUGGAUGUGGUGGGAGCACAGCAGAGAGGCAGCGAAGCCCACCUCGGGGAGGAGGCACAGUGGGCUUUUGAAAGGAGGGUCUGCCUGAAGGCUGCUGAAAGGUGUGGUGUUAUUUUUUAUGUUUUGCUUUUUUGUAAGAGACAGGAUCUCAUUGUAUUGCCCAGGCUGGAGUGCAGUGACUAUUCACAGGCGUGAUCAUGGCUCACUGCAGCCUCAAACUCCUGGCCUCAAGUGAUCCUCUUGCUUCAGUCCCACGAGUGGCUGGGACUCUGAUGAGGCACCAGAGGUCUGGAGUUUACCGAAGCCACUUGCUCUGAAGCAUUUUGAAAAGUUUGUCCUGGUUUUCGUGACUUGAGCAGAGACCCAGCUGCCUCAUCACACCACCGGGUUUCUCAGAAGGAGGAUCCAUGGCGGACGAGACGGGGUCUGGUCAGAGGCUAGUGGCACAGGAGGGGCAUGGGCCAGAACUGCUCCCAUGAGCUGGAAGAUGUGACAAGUACUAGUGUCAAUAUCAAGAGCAGGGAGGUUGGGAGUGGUUGUGGAUUUUAGCAGAUACAUCCACUCCUUCAUUCAUUCUAUUUAUUCAAUAAAAGGUUCUGCUGAAGACUCAGCAGCAAAAACAAACAAGCAAACAAAA